CUUCAUAACCAAAUCCAACACCAGCGUGACCUUUUACGUUGCUCUCCAUCUCUCCGUCUCCUUCACGUGUGCUCUGAAUCUGUGCUUAUUUUUCACGUGGCACAAGACGUGUGUUCACGUGUGAAAGGUCAAACCUGCACCUGCUUUCUAACUUUCUGUCUAACAGGAUCUUUAUUUACUCCGAAGGACACAAAUGCAUGUAAAAAUCAACCGGCGGGAUAAAACACGUCCCCCGCAGACGUGACCUUUCAUAAAAAACAAGAGCCUUUUAUUUCAUUCUUUCGGUCCCGGCGACUGGAAAUUCCUCCUCUGUUUAUUUACGACGCAGUGACACGGCCGUGAAUCGCAGCACAAAGUGAAACUCAUAUAGUUAUCAAAAGCAUAAAAUUCCUUUCACUUUAGAUGUCAGGGGAAUGAAAGAGGUAGUCAUAAAGGAGACGUGAGGCGUAAAUCAGCCGGGGGUCGAGCGGGACAGAGAGGAACAGAGGAGGAGCCGAGCCACGCUGCAGCUGCUGCUGUCUAAUCCAGACUUCCUGUCCGAUCAGAAUCGGACUUCUUCCUGCUUGUCACCUUUACUGCAUCCUACUGUGCCAUCAUGAUCUCAUACAGCUCUUCUCCCAGCAUGCUUUGCUAAAUGAACACGGAUCUCCUAAGCGGCCUCCUCGUUCCCGACUCAAACCUCAAGCCGCCGAUUUCACGCUUACACGCAGCUCAGCCAGGGCCUUCAGAUGCAGCUGAGGUUCGCGACCUCUCACCUCAUCCAUCAUGACGUGAUUGACGUGGGAAGCCGGCCAGUGACAUGCCAGCGCAUUGGGGCAGGGCCAGAACCGGGGCAGCAGAUGGAAUCUAUUGGUUCAUAUCUAUAUGCUGAUAAGACUGUUUAGUGAAAUGAUUUAUGGAACUAAUUUAGGCUAAAGAUAUCCUGAGUAUUAACAUGUAUUAUACGUCAGUGCGCUCCAAGAGAGCAUCAGAGAUCAUUAAACUUACUGUCUUGUUAGUUGUUUCUUUUAUUCUUUCUUUCUUUUUAUUUCCACUAUUAAACCUUGGUGUAAAUCUA